CUGGGGCUAUACGAAAUCAUCAACGCCGCAUAAAUUAUUAUUAUUAACAAAAGCUGCACACCUAGCUUUUCCCGAGCAGAGAAACAGGGCAGUCGGCUGGAGUUGAUAACUUCUUGCGCACUUGUUUUCCCAUCACACUUGGGAGCAAUCUAUUUUCACAGAAGGAAACCAUUAAUUAAACUAGACGAUGUAAUAAUAUCGCCUGCAAAUAUUGUGUUGAAAAAUGCAGGGAAAUUGCUUUUGAUGGUCAUAUAUUGGAUCCAAAUAUUGUAAUAAUUUUCCAAGAGCUUGCGAGAUCUUUAAAUUAAUUUGGGAGUUUUAAUCAAAUAAUUAGCAAUGCAUUGGCAAACCAGCGCAAUAUUAUGAUUUAUUGAGCAAAACCGUUUUGAAAUUAUGUUUACAAUAUUUUUCAUUUUCAAAACGAAAUCCAUGAAUUGAAAAAUUACAAUAAAGGCAAGUAAAUAGGAGAAAACAAAUAAUUUGAAAUUCUAUGUCAUUAGUCGAUUUGUAAAUAAAUCUGUUAGAAUUUUUAAUUUUUCUUCAAUUGUGAUGUAAAUGGCAUUACCAAAAAUUAUAACAGUAUUCCUAGUCUCAUUGCAAAAAUAGAAAAAAAAUAGAAAAUAUGUUGGAAAGCA